rnacentral:tRNA from 2 species
GCCCAGGUAGCUCAGCUGGUAGAGCAGCGGACUGAAAAUCCGCGUGUCGGCGGUUCAACUCCGUCCCUGGGCA